rnacentral:rRNA from 1 species
GACGAACGCUGGCGGCGUGCUUAACACAUGCAAGUCGAACGGAGCGAAUGAAAGCUUGCUUUUAUAAGCUUAGUGGCAAACGGGUGAGUAACACGUAGGCAACCUGCCGACAGGAUGGGGACAACAUUCCGAAAGGAAUGCUAAUACCGAAUGAAGUCAGAGAAGGGCAUCCUUUUCUGAUGAAAGAUGGCCUCUGAAUAUGCUAUCACCUGUCGAUGGGCCUGCGUCUGAUUAGCUGGUAGGUGAGGUAACGGCUCACCUAGGCGACGAUCAGUAGCCGGUCUGAGAGGAUGAACGGCCACAUUGGGACUGAGACACGGCCCAGGCUCCUACGGGAGGCAGCAGUGGGGAAUCUUCCGCAAUGGGCGCAAGCCUGACGGAGCAACGCCGCGUGAGUGAAGAAGGUCUUCGGAUCGUAAAGCUCUGUUGAUGGGGACGAACGUGCCUAAUGCGAAUAGUUUUAGGCAA